rnacentral:rRNA from 1 species
UACGGGGGGGGGCAAGCGUUGUUCGGAAUUACUGGGCGUAAAGGGCUCGUAGGCGGCCAACUAAGUCAGACGUGAAAUCCCUCGGCUUAACCGGGGAACUGCGUCUGAUACUGGAUGGCUUGAGUUUGGGAGAGGGAUGCGGAAUUCCAGGUGUAGCGGUGAAAUGCGUAGAUAUCUGGAGGAAUACCGGUGGCGAAGGCGGCAUCCUGGACCGGCAUUGACGCUGAGGAGCGAAAGCCAGGGGAGCAAAGCGGG